rnacentral:rRNA from 1 species
GUGGGGAAUUUUGGACAAUGGGGGCAACCCUGAUCCAGCCAUGCCGCGUGCGGGAAGAAGGCCUUCGGGUUGUAAACCGCUUUUGGCAGGAACGAAACGGUGCGGGCGAAUACCCUGUGCUAAUGACGGUACCUGCAGAAUAAGCACCGGCUAACUACGUGCCAGCAGCCGCGGUAAUACGUAGGGUGCGAGCGUUAAUCGGAAUUACUGGGCGUAAAGCGUGCGCAGGCGGUUGUGCAAGACAGGUGUGAAAUCCCCGGGCUUAACCUGGGAACUGCAUUUGUGACUGCACGGCUAGAGUUUGUCAGAGGGGGGUGGAAUUCCACGUGUAGCAGUGAAAUGCGUAGAUAUGUGGAAGAACACCGAUGGCGAAGGCAGCCCCCUGGGAUGAGACUGACGCUCAUGCACGAAAGCGUGGGGAGCAAACAGGAUUAGAAACCCCAGUAGUCC